CCUACGGGUGGCAGCAGUGGGGAAUAUUGCACAAUGGGCGAAAGCCUGAUGCAGCAACGCCGCGUGCAGGAUGACGGGUUUCGGCUCGUAAACUUCUAUCAACAGGGACGAAAGAAAUGACGGUACCUGAAUAAGAAGCCCCGGCUAACUACGUGCCAGCAGCCGCGGUAAUACGUAGGGGGCAAGCGUUAUCCGGAAUUACUGGGUGUAAAGGGUGAGUAGGCGGGAUGGUAAGUCAGAUGUGAAAGCCUUGGGCUCAACCCGGGGAUUGCAUUUGGAACUAGCAAGCUAGAGUGCAGGAGAGGAAAGCGGAAUUCCUAGUGUAGCGGUGAAAUGCGUAGAUAUUAGGAAGAACACCAGUGGCGAAGGCGGGUGUCCGGACUGAAACUGACGCUGAGGCACGAAAGCGUGGGGAGCGAACAGGAUUAGAUACCCGAGUAGUC
rnacentral:rRNA from 1 species